UUACUAACCUUCAUGGCGAGGCUUGGUCAUUGCACUUUCGACCAGGCUGACCCGUGUGGCAGUCCCGAGUUGGGAUUGGCCAACAGCAUAAUUUUUGCGUUUGGGGACAGCGUUCGCGCUUCCCCGC
rnacentral:snRNA from 1 species